rnacentral:lncRNA from 1 species
CACCUCCCUCAGUCCUAAGCAAGCUGAGGCAGUGGGUCGCCCUAGACUGGAGCAACGUGCAUGAUGGUGGGAAGAGCCAGUGACUUUCUUUCAUGUCCUCUCUGCCCUCGACCUCAGGAGUCACCCAGGUGGGCACUGGCAUCCAGGAUGAAAACUUCCCAGCAUCCCUUGCAGCAAGCAAUGGCCACGUGACCAGGCAGUGGCCAAUGCACAUGAGGCCGGUGCACAGCAACUGCUUUUAGAGGAAGGAAGAUUUGUGUCCUCUUGUUCUCUUCUCCCUUCCCUGCUGGCUGGUAGUAGAUAGGAUGGACACUGUGGGGGAAGCUACACCCUAAGGAAGUCAGAGCAGCAAGAUGGAAGUAGCCUAAGACCCUGAAAAAUGCACAGAGAAGAAUCACCCGACUGGCUUGGACUUUCAUGUGAAAGGAAUGAACCUCUGUCUUAGUAAAGCCACCGAGAUUCAGGGUCCUUGUGAUAUUCAUUGAGGCUGUAACAUAAUUGUUGAAAGAAUAGGAGCGGGAGGGGAGAUGGAGUUGGAGAGGCAGGCAGAGGUCAGAUCACAUCAGGCCUGUAGGCCAAGGCGGAGGAAGAAACAGGUGAUAUAGGACUCAAGGACCACACCUGCUCCCAGGCGAAGGGAGUUUGCUGUGGGUGCCCCUCCCUGUCUGUGUGUCCAGUGUGUGGAUAUUCUUCAUACCUUGCCCAUAUUGAACAAAUACUUUUUUCUAUUCAAUAUUUAGAAGACAUUGCAUUAAAUAGCAAGAUGGCAGAUGAACAUCAGGAAGGAACAUUAGGAACAUCCACAGCGUUCCAUCCAGGAACCUUCACCAUGGAAACCCUUGUGCUCAUGGGCGUGGUCUCAAGACACAGUCAGCUGUUGGGGAUCAGCGGCCACACUCAUCGUAGCAGAGAGGCAGGACCAACUGGGGGAGGGUCCUUCUGUGACACCUACUGCAUCACCGGGCUGUGUGAAGUGACUCAGCUGCCAGAACUCACACAAUAUAAUUCUACACCAAACCUCACGGGAAAAAUGGAGUCUAUAGACAAGGGAAGCAAGAAGUCAAGUUAGGGAGCUGUCAGCAAACCAGGAGAAGGAUGAUGGGGCUCGACCCAAGAUGACAGCGGCAGAGACCAGGAGUUGCAUUCAGAUUCCAGAUGUUUUGGAAGAAAGAACCAACAGGAGCCUCCGACACAUUGAAUUGAACAUGGGAGAAGAAGGAGAAGCAAUGUUAUACUGUCACCUCUUUCUGACUUUAUUGCGAACCUGGUGAACAUGAUGGCCAAUCAAAGACAUUGGAGUGGAUGAGAUGAAGGUUUCACAAAAGUACUAAAGAAAAAGCUAUUGUCUGUGGGCAGAUGACACUAGUCCAGGGAGGGAAAAAACGGUAGCGAGUAGAUGUUCUUUUCCACCAAAAGGUAUCGUGCCUAUCGCGGAAGCUCCUGGUAGACAUUUGCUGGAAACAGCAUAGCCCAGAGACACUGGAAUAAAUUCGAGAUGUCUUGAAACUAUAAUACCCAAAUCUGACUAUCUGUUCAGUGCUGAAAUCUGACUAUCUGUCAUAUUUGGGUAUUAUAGUGUCAUAAGUGAGUGUCAUAAAAUGAGUUAGGAGUGUUUCUUCUGCCUGUAUUUUCUGAAGGUGCUUACGAUCGAUGUUAUUUUUUAAGGAGGGCUGAGAUUGUCAGCCCAACACUUC